UCAAAUCGAAACCUUGACAUCCCCCCCUCCGGGCAUACCUGGGGAAUUUGCUUGUUUAGUAUUUUAAGAAUUUUCUAGUGGAAGGUGGGGAAUUUGAAGGGGGUCGGGAAUUUGAAUUUUUCUUUUAAACACGUGUGCAGAAUCCAAAAUGGCGUCAAUAAUUAAUGGAUGAGUUCAAGGUCUUCAAGUGCAAAGGAAUUAACUUUGUCCUUGGUUGGCUACAAGAAAACGGCUUUGAACGAUUGAAGAGAGUUUUUGAAGGAAAGAAAAACUUUGAAAUUCCAAAAUUGCGAAAUGCUGUAGCUUCCAAUUCGUACAUGGGGUGGGGUAUUUGAACUCCAAUUUUUCCCAAUAC